AAGCGAUGCCAGGGGCAGGUGAGGGUCGGACGCGCUCAGGCCCAGCCCUCGCCCCUUCAGGUCUGGGGGACACAGUGGAGUCCCAGCCUCAAGAAGUUUCCCCAACCUCUCAGAAACUUGAAGGGCAAUGCCAGGUACCGAAAAACCGGCCCCCGCCCCUUAUCCCCGGCCGACCCGUCCGCCGAGGUGGCUGCCCUGGGAACCUCCUGUUCCUCGUCCAGGAGAGGAAACGCACACCCGGGCCGGACGCACAGAAGCCGCACCCUGGCUGGGGCCACAAGCCUGACAGCUACCGACAAGCCCCCACCCACAGGAGCACGCGACGUGCUCUCUUUUCAAGGGAAAGGUUUUUCUUCCUGGGCCCUGGAAUGGGCCUGAAGUCAGCCGGCCUCAGCCCACAGGGUGAAUGAGGGGUGGGCACAGCCCGGCCGCGGCCCCAGCACACACGGGCGGACGCAGGGGCGGGGGAGCGCCAGCCCCGCAGUGUGUUCGGAGCCCAGCGGCUCUGAGUCGCCGCCACCAGCCUGGCCGCCUUCUGCUCCACGUCUGUUCACCCGUCCCCUGGACCGGCACCGCCACAGAGGGUCAGAGUGUUGGCACCUGUCUUCCGGGUCAGUUCACCCGUCCCCUGGACCGGCACCGCCACAGAGGGUCAGAGUGUUGGCACCUGUCUUCCGGGUCAGUUCACCCGUCCCCUGGACCGGCACCGGCACAGAGGGUCAGAGUGUUGGCACCUGUCUUCCGGAUCUGUUCACCCCUCCCCCGGACCGGCACCGCCACAGAGGGUCAGGAGUGUUGGCACCUGUCUUCCGGGUCAGUUCACCCGUCCCCUGGACCGGCACCGCCACAGAGGGUCAGGAGUGUUGGCACCUGUCUUCCGGAUCUGUUCACCCGUCCCCUGGACCGGCACCGCCACAGAGGGUCAGAGUGUUGGCACCUGUCUUCCGGAUCUGUUCACCCGUCCCCUGGACCGGCACCGCCACAGAGGGUCAGAGUGUUGGCACCUGUCUUCCGGAUCUGUUCACCCGUCCCCUGGACCGGCACCGCCACAGAGGGUCAGAGUGUUGGCACCUGUCUUCCGGAUCUGUUCACCCGUCCCCUGGACCGGCACCGCCACAGAGGGUCAGAGUGUUGGCACCUGUCUUCCGGAUCUGUUCACCCCUCCCCUGGAUCGGCACCGGCACAGAGGGUCAGAGUGUUGGCACCUGUCUUCCGGAUCUGUUCACCCGUCCCCUGGACCGGCACCGCCACAGAGGGUCAGAGUGUUGGCACCUGUCUUCCGGAUCUGUUCACCCCUCGCCUGGACCGGCACCGGCACAGAGGGUCAGAGUGUUGGCACCUGUCUUCCGGAUCUGUUCACCCCUCCCCUGGACCGGCACCGCCACAGAGGGUCAGAGUGUUGGCACCUGUCUUCCGGAUCUGUUCACCCCUCCCCUGGAUCGGCACCGGCACAGAGGGUCAGAGUGUUGGCACCUGUCUUCCGGAUCUGUUCACCCGUCCCCUGGACCGGCACCGGCACAGAGGGUCAGAGUGUUGGCACCUGUCUUCCGGGUCUGUUCACCCGUCCCCUGGACUGGCACCAGCACAGAGGGUCGAGUGUUGGCACCUGUCUUCUGGGUCUCCAUCCCUCCCUUUGUUUGUUGAGUGACUGCAUGUUCUCAUUUCCUUAUCAUACAAUUCUUUGAGAGGUAUCAUUAGCUGCGUCUUAUUUUAUUUUCACCUUCUUUUCUGUUACCUGUAUGUUUGAAUUUUCCUAUAAGUAUUUUUGUUUCAUCUUUGCUUUUUUAAAUUAAAAAAUCAGUUUUAAAAUUG
ensembl:lncRNA novel transcript, antisense to CBFA2T3